AGUGAACGCCGGCGGUAGGCCUAACACAUGCAAGUCGAACGGCAGCACAGGAGAGCUUGCUCUCUGGGUGGCGAGUGGCGGACGGGUGAGGAAUACAUCGGAAUCUACUUUUUCGUGGGUGAUAACGUAGUGAAACUUACGCUAAUACCCCAUACGACCUACUGGUGAAAGCAGGGGACCUUCGGGCCUUGCGUGAUUGAAUGGGCCGAUGUCGGAUUCGCUAGUUGGCGGGGUAAAGGCCCACCAAGGCCACAAUCCGUAGCUGGUCUGAGAGGAUGAUCAGCCACACUGGAACUGAGACACGGUCCAGACUCCUACGGGAGGCAGCAGUGGGGAAUAUUGGACAAAGAGCGCAAGCCUAAUCCAGCCAUACCGCGUGGGUGAAGAAGGCCUUCGGGUUGUAAAGCCCUUUUGUUGGGAAAGAAAUCCAGCUGGCUAAUACCCGGUUGGGAUGACGGUACCCAAAGAAUAAGCACCGGCUAACUUCGUGCCAGCCGCCGCCGUAA
rnacentral:rRNA from 1 species